GACGAACGCUGGCGGCGUGCUUAACACAUGCAAGUCGAACGGUGAAGCCCUUCGGGGUGGAUCAGUGGCGAACGGGUGAGUAACACGUGAGCAACCUGCCCCUGGCUCUGGGACAACCACUGGAAACGGUGGCUAAUACCGGAUACGACCCGCCUCGGCAUCGAGUGUGGGUGGAAAGUUUUUCGGCUGGGGAUGGGCUCGCGGCCUAUCAGCUUGUUGGUGAGGUGAAGGCUCACCAAGGCGACGACGGGUAGCCGGCCUGAGAGGGCGACCGGCCACACUGGGACUGACACGGCCCAGACUCCUACGGGAGGCAGCAGUGGGGAAUAUUGCACAAUGGGCGAAAGCCUGAUGCAGCGACGCCGCGUGAGGGAUGACGGCCUUCGGGUUGUAAACCUCUUUCAGCUCCGAAGAAGCGAAAGUGACGGUAGGAGCAGAAGAAGCACCGGCUAACUACGUG
rnacentral:rRNA from 1 species